UACGAAGGGUGCAAGCGUUGCUCGGAAUUAUUGGGCGUAAAGCGCACGUAGGCGGGCGCGUAAGUCGAUUGUGAAAGCCCUGGGCUCAACCCGGGAACUGCAGUCGAUACUGCGUGUCUUGAGUUCUCGAGAGGAUGGCGGAAUUCCUGGUGUAGAAGUGAAAUUCGUAGAUAUCAGGAGGAACACCGGCGGCGAAAGCGGCCGUCUGGCGAGACACUGACGCUGAGGUGCGAAAGCGUGGGGAGCAAACAG
rnacentral:rRNA from 1 species